rnacentral:rRNA from 1 species
AGUGAACGCUGGCGGUAGGCCUAACACAUGCAAGUCGAACGGCAGCACAGUAAGAGCUUGCUCUUACGGGUGGCGAGUGGCGGACGGGUGAGGAAUACAUCGGAAUCUACUUUUUCGCGGGGGUUAACGUAGGGAAACUUACGCUAAUACCGCAUACGACCUACGGGUGAAAGCAGGGGAUCUUCGGACCUUGCGCGAUUGAAUGAGCCGAUGUCGGAUUAGCUAGUUGGCGGGGUAAAGGCCCACCAAGGCGACGAUCCGUAGCUGGUCUGAGAGGAUGAUCAGCCACACUGGAACUGAGACACGGUCCAGACUCCUACGGGAGGCAGCAGUGGGGAAUAUUGGACAAUGGGCGCAAGCCUGAUCCAGCCAUACCGCGUGGGUGAAGAAGGCCUUCGGGUUGUAAAGCCCUUUUGUUGGGAAAGAAAAGCAGCAGGUUAAUACCCCGCUGUUCUGACGGUACCCAAAGAAUAAGCACCGGCUAACUUCGUG